rnacentral:rRNA from 1 species
AACGUAGGGGGCAAGCGUUAUCCGGAUUUACUGGGUGUAAAGGGAGCGUAGACGGCGAUGCAAGCCAGAUGUGAAAGCCCGGGGCUCAACCCCGGGACUGCAUUUGGAACUGUAUAGCUAGAGUGUCGGAGAGGCAGGCGGAAUUCCUAGUGUAGCGGUGAAAUGCGUAGAUAUUAGGAGGAACACCAGUGGCGAAGGCGGCCUGCUGGACGAUGACUGACGUUGAGGCUCGAAAGCGUGGGGAGCAAACAGG